rnacentral:tRNA from 1 species
GCUGGGAUGGCGGAACUGGCAGACGCGUUAGGCUUAGGACCUAAUGGGGCAACCCGUGGGAGUUCGACUCUCCCUCCCAGCA